rnacentral:rRNA from 1 species
CGCCUGCCCUGUGACAAAUGUUUAACGGCCGCGGUAUUUUGACCGUGCAAAGGUAGCGCAAUCACUUGUCUUUUAAAUGAAGACCUGUAUGAAUGGCAUGACGAGGGCUUAACUGUCUCCUUUUUCUAGUCAAUGAAAUUGAUUUUCCCGUGCAGAAGCGGGGAUAUAACCAUAAGACGAGAAGACCCUAUGGAGCUUUAGACACAAGACAGAUCUUGUUAAACACUUCAAAAAAGAAACAAACUAAAAGGGCCCUGUCCUAUUGUCUUUGGUUGGGGCGACCACGGGAAGACAAACAACCCCCACGCGGACUGAAAAAACAGUUCUCACAACCAAGAGCUACAGCUCUAAUUAACAGAAAUUCUGACCUAAAGAUCCGGCACUGCCGAUCAACGGACCGAGUUACCCUAGGGAUAACAGCGCAAUCCCCUUUUAGAGUCCAUAUCGACAAGGGGGUUUACGACCUCGAUGUUGGAUCAGGACAUCCUAAUGGUGCAGCAGCUAUUAAGGGUUCGUUUGUUCAACGAUUAAAG